rnacentral:lncRNA from 1 species
CUUCGAUGAACACAGAAAAUCAACCCAUAAGCCCUCACAAAUCGCGGUCCCCAUCCCAAGGCGGACAUACUCGAUCGGGAAAACAAGUCCACCCAUGAUAUAAAUAUUCAUACCUGAACUUGGACGGACCACUGUUACGCCCCCAUCUGAAACACUUCGAAAAGUCUACCACCGCAUCUUAUGAGGUGUGCAACACCCAUCCGAAGUGGAACUACCAUCUGCUAACCCACUGCAAGACACAGACAAUCUACUGAACUGGUCGAGGCGCCCUCGCCCCUGAAGCCGAAGUUCUUUGCUAGAGGAUCCGCGCCAAUUUCAGAAAGAGAUCUAAGUUAAGAUCCUUUUUGCCCCCAAGAUUCAAUUGAUUUGAUGUCUCCAUGAGCCUAGUUGAUAUGGCGUACCAACUUUAUGUCAACUCAAUUCGGGAGAAAUAAUUAUCCGUCCACUCCAUAGACGCGGCUGAUUGACGCCUAUGAGCAGACGUGUCACACCGUCAGAUGCGUACACAUGUCCCACAUCCAACGGUUCUUCUCAUUUAUAAAUACCCAGGGUUUGAAAGAGGUAAAGGUAAUGAAACUCUUACAACAUAGCUUUCCACAACAAGCAAAUACAUAUUCUCCUUCCCUCUACUUUGCACAACCUUGGUAUUGAUCUGACCACCUGAAACUAACUUGACCAUUGGAGUGUAUGUGACCGCCGCCGCCUCCGUUGUUCUAGCCGUGUGCAUCUGACCGUGCAUUGACUGUAUGCAAAGAGGAAUACGUGGAGUAAUUAUCGGUUGGCCACGUGAAGGGUCCAAUUUGCGAGGUUAACACCUACAUCUCCAAAAAGAAUAUUCAUAUGCUACCAACCAUAAUUUGAAAGAAUUUUUUUAGUAAAACAAUCCAAGUAUAUUGGGAUUCCACAUGGAGAAUAUGCUUUUAAUAUGAAGAAUUUGGCUCAAACUGAGGUCCUUGGAAAGGGAAUUGAAGAGCAAUUUGUAUUUUG